rnacentral:rRNA from 1 species
GACGAACGCUGGCGGCGUGCCUAAUACAUGCAAGUUGAGCGCUGAAGGUUGGUACUUGUACCAACUGGAUGAGCAGCGAACGGGUGAGUAACGCGUGGGGAAUCUGCCUUUGAGCGGGGGACAACAUUUGGAAACGAAUGCUAAUACCGCAUAAAAACUUUAAACACAAGUUUUAAGUUUGAAAGAUGCAAUUGCAUCACUCAAAGAUGAUCCCGCGUUGUAUUAGCUAGUUGGUGAGGUAAAGGCUCACCAAGGCGAUGAUACAUAGCCGACCUGAGAGGGUGAUCGGCCACAUUGGGACUGAGACAAGGCCCAAACUCCUACGGGAGGCAGCAGGAGGGAAUCUUCGGCAAUGGACGAAAGGCUGACCGAGCAACGCCGCGUGAGUGAAGAAGGUUUUCGGAUCGUAAAACUCGGUUGGUAGAGAAGAACGUUGGUGAGAGUGGAAAGCUCAUCAAGUGACGGUAACUACACAGAAAGGGACGGCUAACUACGUG